rnacentral:lncRNA from 1 species
UUCCUCUCAUGUUAACGAUCUCAGCUAACUGCAAUGUAGUUAUCUUUUAAAUUAGCCAAGAAAAGACCACUUUUUUACAAAAGGUAUUUUAGCCAAUAUGGGUUCAUAGAUCUCUAAUAUCCACAAAUCAUUAAUAAAAUAACAGAUUCUUUUUGAGAGGAAAUGCUUGCUCUCUACUCAUCGGGUUGUCUAAAUAGUUUAUCAGACACUGAGCUAAUAACUUUUCACACAUUGUCCCAUUUAAUUUCCACAACCUUAAGAGCCAUACCCUAUUUUUAUUUCCAUUUUACAGAAGAGGAAACCAAAGGUAAAGAACAAUUAAGCAACUUGUCCAAGGUCACACAGGGAAAGGGAUGGAACUAAGAUUUGACCUCAAAACCUACGUUUUUGCAUUCCCUGGAGGAGAAGCCAAUAGAGUCAGGUUUAGGAAGUGGUAGAGAAGCUCUAUCUUCACCCUUUCAGGGUCUGCGUCUCAACCUGCACCUUAAAAAUGAAGGCUUUGGGUUAAGAAAUGGGCACUUAAUCUAUGUGGUUGUGAACAUUAAUUAGAUCCUUAAAAAUCAUUUAAAGUAUUUUGAGAUUCUCAUAUGGUGAGUAUUUUGAAUAUCUCAUACAAUUAUGCCUGUAAUAUAAGGUGAAUUGUUUCUGUCCAUGGCUCUGAACGUAACUAUUUACCUUUGGUUUCCCUGAUGGAGGUGAUCCCAGGUAAACUGGCGCUCUGAUGCUGAUGGUGGAGUUUCCAGGCAAACUUCCCUCCCGGGCCCUCAGUCCAUCCACAACCAAGCGCCCCUUUUCUCCAUCAUGGCCAAACACCACCUUCAGAGUAAGAAAGAUACGUGAGUUGUAUUUUUACCUUUGACAAUUGGUGUUGUAUUUUAUUAAAUAUUAGUGGCCAAAUUAAAAAAAAAAUGUUUUCAUGCUCCUUCAAAUAGCUUCAAAAGAUGAGAGAUUUUUUCCUCCGGUUAUCACUGUCACCAUCGUUUUGUGAGAUUAUGUGAAAUACUGAGCAAACUGAGCUCAAAA